CCUACGGGAGGCAGCAGUAGGGAAUCUUGCUCAAUGGGGGAAACCCUGACGCAGCAACGCCGCGUGGAGGAUGAAGGUUUUCGGAUUGUAAACUCCUUUUGUUAGAGAAGAUAAUGACGGUAUCUAACGAAUAAGCACCGGCUAACUCUGUUCCCACAGCCGCGGUAAUACGGAGGGUGCAGGCGUUACUCGGAAUCACUGGGCGUAAAGAGCGCGUAGGCGGGUUAGCAAGUCAGAUGUUAAAUCCUAUGGCUUAACCAUAGAACUGCAUUUGAAACUGUUAUUCUAGAGUAUGGGAGAGGUAAGUGGAAUUCUUGGUGUAGGGGUAAAAUCCGUAGAGAUCAAGAGGAAUACUCAUGGCGAAGGCGACCUGCUAGAACAUAACUGACGCUGAGGCGCGAAAGCGUGGGGAGCAAACAGGAUUAGAUACCCGUGUAGUC
rnacentral:rRNA from 1 species